rnacentral:lncRNA from 1 species
GCGUGAGAGAAUAAAGAUAAGUGGUUGCACAUUUGAAUUCAAAUCGAAUUUGAAUUCAAAUGCAAACCAACUCAUCCCUAUCCACUUAGGCGUGAGAAGAGAAGGGGCAUGGCUUCAUUUGUGCAUGGAGAGUUUACAUGAGAAACACUUUCUCGUGUAUAAUAUGGGGCGCACAAAAGGAUAAGAGGUGGCACAUGGAGUUGG